GAUGAACGCUGGCGGCGUGCCUAAUACAUGCAAGUCGAGCGAACAGACGAUGAGCUUGCUCCUCUAACGUUAGCGGCUGACGGGUGAGUAACACGUGGAUAACCUUCCUCUAAUACUUGGAUAACUUCGGAAAGCCGGAGCUAAUACCAGAUCAUAUAUUGAACCGCAUGAUUCAAUAGUGAAUGACGGUUUUGCUGUCACUUAUAGCUGAAUCCGCGCCGCAUUAGCUAGUUGGUAAGGUAACGGCUUACCAAGGCGACGAUGCGUAGCCGACCUGAGAGGGUGAUCGGCCACACUGGAACUGAGACACGGUCCAGACUCCUACGGGAGGCAGCAGUAGGGAAUCUUCCGCAAUGGGCGAAAGCCUGACGGAGCAACGCCGCGUGAGUGAUGAAGGUCUUCGGAUCGUAAAACUCUGUUAUUAGGGAAGAACAACUGUGUAAGUAUCUAUGCACGUCUUGACGGUACCUAAUCAGAAAGCCACGGCUAACUACGUG
rnacentral:rRNA from 1 species